rnacentral:rRNA from 1 species
UAAUGUCUAAGUAUCAUUAAGUGAAUACAUAGCUUAAUGAGGGGAACUCAGGGAACUGAAACAUCUAAGUACCUGAAGGAAGAGAAAGAAAUUCGAUUCUGUAAGUAGCGGCGAGCGAACGCGGAUUAGCCCAAACCAAUAAAGUUUUCUUUAUUGGGGUUGCGGACAUAUCAUAACGAAGAGGUAUCGUAAUUGAAGAGGUUUGGAAAGAUCCACCACAGAAGGUAAUAGUCCUGUAUGUUAAACGAGAAGACUUUAGAUAUGAUCCAGAGUACCACGGGACACGUGAAACCCUGUGGGAAGCAGGAGGGACCACCCUCCAAGGCUAAAUACUACCUAGUGACCGAUAGCGUAUAGUACCGUGAGGGAAAGGUGAAAAGAACCCCGGGAGGGGAGUGAAAUAGAACCUGAAACCCUGCACUUACAAGCUGUGGAAGCACAUUUCUUGUGUGACCGCGUACUUUUUGUAGAACGG